AUACGUAGGGGGCGAGCGUUGUCCGGAAUGAUUGGGCGUAAAGGGCGCGUAGGCGGCCUGUUAAGUCUGGAGUGAAAGCCCUGUUUUCAAGAUGGGAAUUGCUUUGGAUACUGAUGGGCUUGAGUGCAGGAGAGGUUAUCGGAAUUCCCGGUGUAGCGGUGAAAUGCGUAGAGAUCGGGAGGAACACCAGUGGCGAAGGCGGGUAACUGGACUGCAACUGACGCUGAGGCGCGAAAGUGUGGGGAGCAAACAGGAUUAUAUACCCUGGUAGUCCACACUGUAAACGAUGAAUGCUAGGUGUAAGAGGUAUCGACCCCUUUUGUGCCGGAGUUAACACAAUAAGCAUUCCGCCUGGGGAGUACGGCCGCAAGGGUGAAACUCAAAUGAAUUGACGGGG
rnacentral:rRNA from 1 species